rnacentral:rRNA from 1 species
UGGGGAAUUUUGGACAAUGGGCGAAAGCCUGAUCCAGCAAUGCCGCGUGUGUGAAGAAGGCCUUCGGGUUGUAAAGCACUUUUGUCCGGAAAGAAAUGGCUCUGGUUAAUACCUGGGGUCGAUGACGGUACCGGAAGAAUAAGGACCGGCUAACUACGUGCCAGCAGCCGCGGUAAUACGUAGGGUCCAAGCGUUAAUCGGAAUUACUGGGCGUAAAGCGUGCGCAGGCGGUUGUGCAAGACCGAUGUGAAAUCCCCGAGCUUAACUUGGGAAUUGCAUUGGUGACUGCACGGCUAGAGUGUGUCAGAGGGGGGUAGAAUUCCACGUGUAGCAGUGCAAUGCGUAGAGAUGUGGAGGAAUACCGAUGGCGAAGGCAGCCCCCUGGGAUAACACUGACGCUCAUGCACGAAAGCGUGGGGAGCAAACAGG